GAUUACAUGAAGUAUUUCCAACGAAAUUCAAAAUGGCGGAAACAGGUGAAGAAAUUCGUGUUGGUUGUAGCUUCUUUUUAAAGCGUAAAAACAGAUAUUGUAAAAUGAUUCCUAGCAAAGGAAAGAAAUAUUGUGGUGAACAUUCAUAUCUCACCGAAGGAAAUGAAGUAUGAACUUUUUUUAAAUAUUUUACUAGAAAUAUAUAUAAAACAAGUAGACAGAGUUGUGGUCAUGUGGUGUACGUUGUACUGUUGUUUUAAGAUAUACUAAUCAAUGAUCUCGAAUUUCAUAAUUCAUUUGGUGAACAUUACUCUGGUUUUCUGCUUUUUAUAGGAUUUGACAGCACGAAAACGAAUCCCUUGUCCACUAGACACAAAACA